GACGAACGCUGGCGGCAUGCCUAAUACAUGCAAGUCGAGCGAACAGAUGAAGUGCUUGCACUUCUGACGUUAGCGGCGAACGGGUGAGUACACGUAAGGAAUCUACCUAUAAGCGGGGGAUAACAUUCGGAAACGGGUGCUAAUACCGCAUAAUAUCUUCUUCCGCAUGGAAGAAGAUUGAAAGACGGCUCUGCUGUCACUUAUAGAUGACCUUGCGGUGCAUUAGUUAGUUGGUGGGGUAACGGCCUACCAAGACGAUGAUGCAUAGCCGACCUGAGAGGGUGAUGGGCAACAUUGGGACGGAGAAACGGCCCAAACUCCUACGGGAGGCAGCAGUAGGAAAUCUUCCGCAAUGGGCGAAAGCCUGACGGAGCAAUGCCGCGUGAGUGAAGAAGGCCUUCGGGUCGUAAAACUCUGUUAUAAGAGAAGAACAAAUUGUAGAGUAACUGCUACAGUCUUGACGGUAUCUUAUCAGAAAGCCACGGCUAACUACGUGCCAGCAGCCGCCGUAA
rnacentral:rRNA from 1 species